rnacentral:miRNA from 1 species
CGGGGCUACGCCUGCCUGAGC